ACAUCCACGGAAGUUUUCAGAGAUGAGAAUGUGCCUUCGGGAACCGUGAGACAGGUGCUGCAUGGCUGUCGUCAGCUCGUGUUGUGAAAUGUUGGGUUAAGUCCCGCAACGAGCGCAACCCUUAUCCUUUGUUGCCAGCGGUCCGGCCGGGAACUCAAAGGAGACUGCCAGUGAUAAACUGGAGGAAGGUGGGGAUGACGUCAAGUCAUCAUGGCCCUUACGACCAGGGCUACACACGUGCUACAAUGGCGCAUACAAAGAGAAGCGACCUCGCGAGAGCAAGCGGACCUCAUAAAGUGCGUCGUAGUCCGGAUUGGAGUCUGCAACUCGACUCCAUGAAGUCGGAAUCGCUAGUAAUCGUGGAUCAGAAUGCCACGGUGAAUACGUUCCCGGGCCUUGUACACACCGCCCGUCACACCAUGGGAGUGGGUUGCAAAAGAAGUAGGUAGCUUAACCUUCGGGAGGGCGCUUACCACUUUGUGAUUCAUGACUGGGGUGAAGUCGUAACAAGGUAAGCGUAGCGAG
rnacentral:rRNA from 1 species